CUUGCUAUCCAGAGAGCGGCGUACGGGUGCGUAACACGUGUGCAACCUGCCUUUAUCUGGGGGAUAGCCUUUCGAAAGGAAGAUUAAUACCCCAUAAUAUGGUGUCCGGCAUCGGUCGCCAUUGAAAGCCUCGGCGGAUAGAGAUGGGCACGCGCAAGAUUAGAUAGUUGGCGGGGUAACGGCCCACCAAGUCGAUGAUCUUUAGGGGUCCUGAGAGGGAGAUCCCCCACACUGGUACUGAGACACGGACCAGACUCCUACGGGAGGCAGCAGUGAGGAAUAUUGGACAAUGGGUGGAAGCCUGAUCCAGCCAUCCCGCGUGAAGGAUGACGGUCCUAUGGAUUGUAAACUUCUUUUGUACAGGGAUAAACCUGCCCUCGUGAGGGCAGCUGAAGGUACUGUACGAAUAAGCACCGGCUAACUCCGUGCCAGCAGCCGCGGUAAUACGGAGGGUGCGAGCGUUAUCCGGAUUUAUUGGGUUUAAAGGGUCCGUAGGCGGGCCUGUAAGUCAGUGGUGAAAUCUCAUAGCUUAACUAUGAAACUGCCAUUGAUACUGCAGGCCUUGAGUAAAUUUGAAGUGGCUGGAAUAAGUAGUGUAGCGGUGAAAUGCAUAGAUAUUACUUAGAACACCGAUUGCGAAGGCAGGUCACUAAGAUUUAACUGACGCUGAUGGACGAAAGCGUGGGGAGCGAACAGGGUUAGAUACCCUGGUAGUCCACGCCGUAAACGAUGCUAACUCGUUUUUGGAUCUUCGGGUUCAGAGACCAAGCGAAAGUGAUAAGUUAGCCACCUGGGGAGUACGUCCGCAAGGAUGAAACUCAAAGGAAUUGACGGGGGCCCGCACAAGCGGUGGAUUAUGUGGUUUAAUUCGAUGAUACGCGAGGAACCUUACCAAGACUUAAAUGGGAAUUGACAGAUUUAGAAAUAGAUCCUCCUUCGGGCAAUUUUCAAGGCGCUGCAUGGUUGUCGUCAGCUCGUGCCGUGAGGUGUUAGGUUAAGUCCUGCAACGAGCGCAACCCCUGCCAACAGUUGCCAUCAUUCAGUUGGGGACUCUGUUGGGACUGCCUACGCAAGUAGAGAGGAAGGUGGGGAUGACGUCAAAUCAUCACGGCCCUUACGUCUUGGGCCACACACGUAAUACAAUGGCCGGUACAGAGGGCAGCUACCUGGUGACAGGAUGCGAAUCUCGAAAGCCGGUCUCAGUUCGGAUUGGAGUCUGCAACUCGACUCUAUGAAGCUGGAAUCGCUAGUAAUCGCGCAUCAGCCAUGGCGCGGUGAAUACGUUCCCGGGCC
rnacentral:rRNA from 1 species